UACGUAGGGUGCGAGCGUUAAUCGGAAUUACUGGGCGUAAAGUGUGCGCAGGCGGCCGCGCAAGUCGAGUGUGAAAGCCCCGAGCUUAACUUGGGAAUUGCGCUCGAAACUACGUGGCUGGAGUGUGGCAGAGGAAGGUGGAAUUCCACGUGUAGCGGUGAAAUGCGUAGAGAUGAUGGAGGAACACCGAUGGCGAAGGCAGCCUUCUGGGCCAACACUGACGCUCAUGCACGAAAGCGUGGGGAGCAAACAGG
rnacentral:rRNA from 1 species